ensembl:lncRNA novel transcript
AUACAGAAGAAACUUUAAAUAUAAUUAAGAUAGCAGCAGAGGAACAUGGAAGAGAGGAACAUAGGUUUAUAAAAUAUAUUGUGCAAAAGAGCUUACUGCACUUAUAAGAAAUGAGAGAGCUUUAUAGGGGAUGAUCACACAGCCUUGAAGAAUGCAUUAGUAAUAACAGAUAACAAGGAUGAGAAGAUAUUUGAGGAAAUAACAGCAAGUGCAACAUCAUGGAGAUGAGAGAGAAAAUGGUAUCAGGACAAAAAGCAGUUCGGGCUUUUGCAAUCACCAUAGGAAGAAGAUUCCACAGUAGCCUGUGAUUCCAGAAGAAUGAAAGACAUGUGGAGCAGCUAUGGACCAAGUUAACUAGAAGCCAACUUAGAUUAGCCAUUCUUCAGCCACAGACAUGCAGCACGUGGUUGGGUGCAGCUUGCAAUCACAAAUCAAAACGGAAGAGGAAGAGGACAACUGUAUAAAGCAGCGUGAUUUAAGUUGAUCUGUGGGACAAAGAGUUAAGCCACAAAUAUUUGGGGAGAGAGGGUUUUCAACGUAUAAGAUCAUGAUAUCUGCAAACAGAGACAAAUUGACUUCCUCCUUCCAAAUUUGGAUGAGUAAAGAGACAACCUACAGAAUGAGAAGAAAUAUUUGCAAAUGAUAUAUCUGACAAUUGGUUAAUAUUCAGACUAUAUAAGGAAUUUAAACAAUUCAGUGGAAACAAAAGCCAAAUAAUAUGAUUUUAAAGUGAGCAAAAGGCCUUGAUGGACAUUUCUCAAAAGAAGACAUACAAAUGGACAUGAGUAUAUGAACAAAUGUACAACAUCACUAAUCAUCAGGAAAUUGCAAAUUAAACCAUAAUGAAAAACCACCUCACUCCAAUUACAAUGGCUAUUAUUAAAAAGACAAAAGAAAACAAGUGUUGACGAUAUGAAGAAAAGACAACUCCUGUAUACUAUUGGUGGGAAUGUAAAUUAGUAUACCAAUUAUAGAAAAUAGCAUGGAGAUUUCUCAAAAGAUUAAAAACAGAACUAAUACAUGAACCAGGAAUUCCACUGCUGGAUAUAUAUAUACAAAGGAAAUGAAAUUAGUAUAUUGGAGCAAUGUCUGUAUUCCCAUGUUUAUUGCAGCACUGUUUACAAUAGCCAAGAUGUUGAAUCAGCCUAAGUGUCCAACAGCAGAUGAGUGGAUAAAGAAAAUGUAGUAUAUAUACACAAUUGAAAACUAUUCAGCCAUUAAAAGAAUAAAAUCCCAUCUUUGUGACAGCAAAGAUGAACCUGGAGGACAUCGUGUUAAGUCAAACAAGCCAGAGACAGAAAGACAAAUACUGCAUGAUCUCAUUUAUGUGUGAAACUUUUUUUAAAAGUUGAUAUCAUGUAAGCAGAGACUAGAAAAUGAUUACCAGAGACUGGGGAGGGAGGAGAAAGGGAGGAUGGAAAAAGGUUGGUCAUUGGGUACAAAACUAAAAUUAGAUAUGAAGAAUACAUUCUUGUGUUCUAUUGCUCAGUAGGAUGACUAUAGUUAACAGAAAAAUAUUGUAUAUUACAAACAGAAGAGAGGAUUUUGAAUGUUCUCACCAGAAAGAAAUGAUACAUGCAUGAAGUGAUGAAUAUUCUAAAAAUGCAGAUUGAACCAGCAUGCAAUAUAUAUGCACUAAAACAUCAAAUUGUACCCCAUAACAUGCACACUUACAAUGUGUCAAUUCUUUAAAAAGUGUAUUUUCUAAUGUAAAUAUUAGCCAUAGGAAUUACUCAAACCUCCUUGAGUUUGUGACAAAUAUAUAAAUCUUUAUUAAUGUAAAUUAUUAAAACUAAACAUUCUUGUUUUCUCAUGCAUGUCAUUUUAUAUUUCAGUAACUUACAAUAAUGCUGUCUAUCUGACAGUUUAUGUUUUAAAGCUGUGAUAAAUGUAAAGGCUAAGUACAAAAAAUUAUGCAACGUUGUAACAAAGUUUUUAUGUGGUGCUUUACUGGUACCAAAAAUUGGUAAUAAA